rnacentral:rRNA from 1 species
CCUACGGGGGGCAGCAGUGGGGAAUAUUGGACAAUGGGGGCAACCCUGAUCCAGCCAUGCCGCGUGUGUGAAGAAGGCCCUCGGGUUGUAAAGCACUUUCAGUGAGGAAGAACGCCUGGUGGUUAAUACCCAUCAGGGAAGACAUCACUCACAGAAGAAGCACCGGCUAACUCCGUGCCAGCAGCCGCGGUAAUACGGAGGGUGCGAGCGUUAAUCGGAAUUACUGGGCGUAAAGCGCGCGUAGGUGGCUUGAUAAGCCGGUUGUGAAAGCCCCGGGCUCAACCUGGGAACGGCAUCCGGAACUGUCAAGCUAGAGUGCAGGAGAGGAAGGUAGAAUUCCCGGUGUAGCGGUGAAAUGCGUAGAGAUCGGGAGGAAUACCAGUGGCGAAGGCGGCCUUCUGGACUGACACUGACACUGAGGUGCGAAAGCGUGGGUAGCAAACAGGAUUAGAUACCCGAGUAGUC